rnacentral:rRNA from 1 species
ACGUAGGUGGCAAGCGUUGUCCGGAAUUAUUGGGCGUAAAGCGCGCGCAGGCGGUCCUUUAAGUCUGAUGUGAAAGCCCACGGCUCAACCGUGGAGGGUCAUUGGAAACUGGGGGACUUGAGUGCAGAAGAGGAAAGUGGAAUUCCACGUGUAGCGGUGAAAUGCAUAGAUAUCGUCAAGAACACCGAUAGCGAAGGCAGCUUACUGGGCUGUAACUGACGCUGAUGCACGAAAGUGUGGGGAUCAAACAGGA